GCUUUAUCAACUGUCGUUUUCUUGUUUUCUUAUACAUGGGAGAUUCUUACUCAUUGUCUCUGGGAAUCCUCAUGUUUCUUCUGGUUAUUUUAUACGGCUUCAUGACGCACAUCCUUAUAUAUAUUUUCUUUUGAAUCUUCUCUAACAUGCCCUAUUCUUGCCUAUAGAUCACGAUAGUAUUCUACGUACAUAUUUUGAGGGGCUUUUAUUAUGUUCACUCUGGGAGAGCUUUCUCUCCUCAGGGUACAGGAGACCUGUGAACCCCUGAGUGCAGGGGAGUGCCUGCACUCAGUAGCUUGCUGCUCACAUCGGUUGCUGAAAUGCCUUAGUCUUGCCUCAGUUAUUCCCUUUAAAUAGAUGCCAGGUCGAAUAGGUGUUGUGACCUCUUAGGUUGUUUUCUUAAGUAACUGAGUGACAGGAGAGGUCAUUUAUCUGCUUAUAAGAACACAUUGCUUUCUAAGUGAGGAGGGGCCAGCUUCUGACAAAGCGCCAUUAGAAGAGUCCUCCACUGUCCUUGUUAGGUUACAGUGCUUAUCAGUUUCUCUCCUUUACAGGGCCUAAUCCGAUGAGUGACCUGUUUUGGGAAGCAAACAUUUUUAAAGAAACCCUACUUGAAAGUUAAAGACUACAAUUGCAUGUCAGAAUAUAGACUACUGCUACCAAGUGUGAUUGUUCUCCUGAACGCUCUGCUUUUGUGACAGUUAAUGGAAUUUAAAAAGGAAAAGUAAACGUAUCUAUAACCUAACUUUCGGAAUGGAAAGGAAUGGAUUGGAAUGGAAUCCUAACUACAUCAUGUGUCUCAGAAUUAAGUCCAUUGUUCUUAACCUGUUAUUCUUCAGCGACCUCACAGAACUGAAAGCUACCUAAAACUGAAAGUAAGAUUUUGUGAGGUUUUUUUUUUUUUCUGUGUUAUAUAUAUGCAUAUAUAUUCUGGGGAAAGACUAUCAAAAGACCCCGGAGACAGCAGCCAGCAUUCCUGGCAGCUAGUCUGGUAUGUUCAGCAGAGAUGCCCUGCAACUUCUGGUACAACUUCUGGUCUCAGCUUCACCGAAGACCGUGAAGAGCAGAUCUGUGUUCAGCAGGAGACUGUGACAUAUGCAGAUUUAACACAUUCUCCUGCACUCAUAUAAUAAGUUGAAAGAUUUAACUUCAGAAAACCAACAUCAUGAAGAGAAAUUGGAAAGAGAUUUUACAUACACAACACAGCUGAUGAAAGACCACAUGUUAUGUAACCUAACCUCUUGACUAAGUGCCAGGAGCUGGAGUUCUCUGGGUCUGCAACAACGUAUUAAAAGCCUCUAAAACUUGAAAAUGCUAAUAAGAAUGAUACAAUAAAAGAUACAUAAAUAAAGGGAGUGUCUGUUAAAUUCAUAACUUUAAUGCAAUCUGAAGUGCCUUGGAAUCAUUAGCCUAAAACACUAAAAACAGCUUUUAGAAAUAAUUUAAAUACUAAAUAAUAUUUAUCCAAGCUGACAACAUGUUGUAGACAUAGCUUGUAGAUCACAGUGUUAAUAGGCAAAUUAAAAAUCAAUAUUUUAAUCCAUCAGCGUGUUGAAAAGAUUUGAUAAAAUCACUUUUUUUUAUUUUUAUCUCCUGACUCUUUUUGGAAACUAAGUUGAUCAUCUACACAUCAAACAGAAUAUCUUUGUGACCCAGCAAUAGGAAUAAUAAUGAAUUUCAUUCAUCUUAAUUUUUAUAUAAUCUCCAUGGAGAAGACGGGCUGGCAAAUAAUUUGAAUGAGCUGCCAUAGUUUUUACUUAUUAUGAAAAUUUAUUACAUUGUUCUCACAGAUGUAAAUGGGGUUUAAAUUCAAUGCUUCUUAUCUUAAAUCUGUUAUGUCCAUUUCAAGUCCUAUUUCAUUACAUUUACCCCUUUCUUUACUUUGUUUUCUAUAAAGUCCUUGUCUAGACUCUGGCUAACUAAUACAUUUAGAUUAAUGAAAUGUCCUUCUGCUAGUUCUCUGAUUUCUAGCUUCAAGCCUUUCUGACUUUGGCUAAUCCUACUCUUAUGAGUGACCUAUUCCAGGAGUUUUAAGUGAUCACAAAAGGUUCUAUUUUGUUCCUUUUGACUUAACAUUUUACUCCAAGAACAUCCAUACCCUUAUCUUUUUUCUGGCCAAGACAUUCCAUUAAAAAUACAAACAAAACUCAUUCAUUUAUUCCUCAUUUUUUUCUGCGUGAUUCCAUUCUAUGUGAUCCUCACACACAGAAUUAUACCCAUAGCCUACCCUAUGUUUUGCGUAAUCCAUGUCCUAACGCACGUGAUCCUCACACAUAGAAUUAUACCCAUAGCCUACCCUAUGUUUUGUGUAAUCCGUGUGCUAACACACGUGAUCCUCACACAUAGAAUUAUACCCAUAGCCUGCCCUAUGUUUUGUGUAAUCUGUGUCUUAACACAUGUGAUCCUUUACACAUAGAAUUAUACCCAUAGCCUGACCUAUAUUUUGCGUAUUCCGUGUCCUAACACAAUUGCCCCCAAACAGGCACGAUGGAGCGUGGGGGUUUUCUUCAUUGAGGAGAACUUAAUGAGUUAAUGUGGCAUCAUUCAAAACCACUUAGCUACAGUAAUGUCUUCUCACAGAUUCUAUCUCUAUGUCUUCACACUUCCUAUAGACUUAAAUUCAUGCAUUUUCUGAAAUCGACAUGGCCAUUGUAUUCCCUCUUGGGUUUCCUUAACCUUGUAUCUAAAUUCUUACUUCACUUGGAUCCUUGACGAUAUGAAUCUGUGAGAUAAAUGUCAUAGAACCCACCAACACCAUGUGCUCAGCAGUCACCAGAGAACAGGUUCAUUAUAUCAUUUUUGCUUUAAGAGCUUCAGCAAUUUCCAUGAAGACCCGUGAAGAGGCCUUUUGUUGAAAACAAUUUCAAGUAAUUCUCCAAAGAUCCUGCCUAAGUACACAGACUCCAAGGACAGGGAGAUUGAAGUUUUGUUCCCAGUUUUGUUAUGUAAUAGCUCUGUAAUCUUAAAACAUUUCUUAAAUAUCCUAACCUCAGUUUCCUUAUCUGUAAAAUGCUUCAUAUGAAGUUUGUGUCUCACAUGGUUGUUUUGAAUAUAAUAGUGAAUAUCGAGCUCAUAACACUGCCUGGCAUAUUAUAAAUUCUCAAUGCUAUGUGUUUAAGAGUCAUUUAAAAUGUAAUUAUUAUUUGUAGCUGAAAAUAAUAGUAGAGUGAGGUAGUAUGAUAUGGUAGAACUGAUCUAGAAGACCUGAGUCCGACUCUUGUUUCGUAUAAUUCAGAGAAGCAGGUCUUUGGGUAAACCACUUAACUUCACUUGUAAAAUGAAAGUAUUAAUGAAUGCAUCACAGGGUCCCUGUAACAAUGAAAUGAGCUCCUGGGUAGAAAAGUGCUUCAUAAACGGGUAUGUGUUACAUAAAUGUUAAUUAUUGAAAUAUGGAGUCAUUACUAACCUUAUAAGAAAACAAGCAAAUGCAUUUUACGUGUAAUUUUUACUCAAUUAUCCUUUAAGUUUAGUCACAAUUAGUAGAAAUUGUCCCUAAUAAUAAAAGUAAAGAAAGGAAAGCAUACAUACUGACAAGGGUUAUUGAUUUCAGAAGAAAGGCUUUCAUUUUUUUUGAUAUUUUGCUACCAUUGACUUGUGAUAUGGGUAAUUUUCUAAAUUACUAUACUUCAGUGAAGUUAUAAUUGUCUAACUUACUUUAUGAUUUAUGAGUCAUUAUAGAAAGGCUCAUGAUUUUUAAACUCACUGUGAAAUAUUCAUAGAAGGCGUUCCUUCUCUAUUCUGGUACUGCAAAAAAAAAAGUCUGUGUAAUGCCUUUGUCAUGUUGUGAUAAACAUUAAAAAAAUACAAGCUGAUUUUUCCCAAUAUUAUCACAUUACAAUUUCUUUAACUUUUAUGGGUGUUCUUUUUGUUUCUGGAAACAAAUGCCACAUUGCUGAAAAGCCUCUAAGUUUAUUUUGGCAAAGCCUUUUCUUUAUCAAUAAAAAAAACUGAGGAUAGAAAUAUUUCAUGUUUAUCCACACCAAAAUAUAGAAAUUAUUGAUAUCAUAAUGUAAAUAAUAAGACCGUACAUUGACUAAUUUUUUAAUAGCUAUUUUAUAGUCCUCAAAUUAAGAAUGUACAAUGUUGAAGAGAUUGAAAAAUGAUUUGCUGUAGUGGAUGACAUGUGGGAUGAUGUUAAAUGGAUUGCUGAGGCCACAUGAGUUCAUGCACACAUACUCCGUGGGCAACUGCGGUGAAAUCACCAUAGACUGGCCAUUCACUUACAAUAUGUGGCCAUUCUUAGUAAUUUAUAUUUGUUGGUGGUUAAUAUCUGUUUCAGAAAGCUAGAAAAGGAAUUUUGUGUGUGUGUAUGCACUAAAGCUUUUCCCCAGAUCAUAUGUGCAUAUACAUCUAUAUAAAAUGGA
rnacentral:lncRNA from 1 species